rnacentral:rRNA from 1 species
UGGGGAAUAUUGCGCAAUGGGGGAAACCCUGACGCAGCGACGCCGCGUGCGGGAUGAAGGCCUUCGGGUUGUAAACCGCUUUUGAUUGGGAGCAAGCUUUCGGGUGAGUGUACCUUUCGAAUAAGCGCCGGCUAACUACGUGCCAGCAGCCGCGGUAAUACGUAGGUGGCAAGCGUUGUCCGGAAUUAUUGGGCGUAAAGCGCGCGCAGGUGGUUUAGAAAGUCUGAUGUGAAAGCCCACGGCUCAACCGUGGAGGGUCAUUGGAAACUAAUAAACUUGAGUGCAGGAGAGAAAAGUGGAAUUCCUAGUGUAGCGGUGAAAUGCGUAGAGAUUAGGAGGAACACCGGUGGCGAAAGCGGCUUUUUGGCCUGCAACUGACCCUGAGGCGCGAAAGCGUGGGGAGCAAACAGG